AGAAGCCGUGUGAGGUGAAAGUCUCACGCACGGUUUUGAAGACGAGUCUGGUAAGGUAACUUACUGGGCUUAGUUUAAC
rnacentral:ncRNA from 1 species